CCUACGGGUGGCAGCAGUAGGGAAUAUUGCACAAUGGGGGAAACCCUGAUGCAGCAACGCCGCGUGGGGGAAGAAGGUUUUCGGAUUGUAAACCUCUAUUGUUAGAGAAGAAAAUGACGGUACCUAACGAAUAAGCACCGGCUAACUACGUGCCAGCAGCCGCGGUAAUACGGAGGGGGCAAGCGUUACCCGGAUUGACUGGGCGUAAAGGGCGCGUAGGCGGGAUUGCAAGUCUGGUGUGAAAUCCGGUGGCUCAACCACAGGACUGCAUUGGAAACUGUACGGCUGGAGUGCAGGAGAGGUAAGUGGAAUUCCUAGUGUAGCGGUGAAAUGCGUAGAGAUUAGGAGGAACACCAGUGGCGAAGGCGGCUUUCUGGACCGUAACUGACGCUGAGGCUCGAAAGCGUGGGGAGCAAACAGGAUUAGAUACCCUAGUAGUC
rnacentral:rRNA from 1 species